ACAGAGGUCUCGAGCGUUAGUCGGAGUCACUGGGCUUAAAGCGUACGUAGGCGGAUAUGCAGGCGUCGUGUGAAAUCCCUUGGCUCAACCAAGGAACUGCACGGCGAACCGCAUGUCUUGAGAUCGGUAGGGGCGGUCGGAACGAUAGGUGGAGUGGUGAAAUGCGUUGAUAUCUAUCGGAACGCCGAAGGUGAAAGCAGGCCGCUGGGCCGAUUCUGACGCUGAGGUACGAAAGCGUGGGGAGCGAACGGGA
rnacentral:rRNA from 1 species